rnacentral:rRNA from 1 species
CCUACGGGCGGCAGCAGUGAGGAAUAUUGGUCAAUGGGCGGGAGCCUGAACCAGCCAAGCCGCGUGAGGGAAGAAGGUUCAGCGUAUCGUAAACCUCUUUUGUAAGGGAACAAAGGCGGGGACUCGUCCCCGGAUGAGGGUACCUGAAGAAAAAGCAUCGGCUAACUCCGUGCCAGCAGCCGCGGUAAUACGGAGGAUGCGAGCGUUAUCCGGAUUUAUGGGGUUUAAAGGGUGCGCAGGCGGCCUGUUAAGUCAGCGGUAAAAGCCCGGGGCUAAACCCCGGCGUGCCGUUGAAACUGGCGGGCUGGAGUGGGAGAGAGGUAGGCGGAAUGCGCGGUGUAGCGGUGAAAUGCUUAGAGAUCGCGCAGAACCCCGAUUGCGAAGGCAGCGUACCGGCUCCACACUGACGCUGAGGCACGAAAGCGUGGGUAUCGAACAGGAUUAGAUACCCUGGUAGUC